CGGUGGGCAGGGCUUAUUGGGUCAAGGGAUGGGGUUAAGUUUUGAUUGACAAUAGGGCCCUUAUACUCCUCGCUCCCGCUACCCAAAAUUGGAACACGACAGAGGCAACUAUACUACUGGGCAGUAUUCGCCGUUGUCCUACUGCUCAGAUGCUGUGCUGGCCAUGUAUCUCACAAACAAGGUCGUCUGUAAAUAACCCAGCUGCAGAUUUUGUAUAUACUGUGUACAUAUUUCCUACUAAACUGUUUGAAGUAUCUGUUUCAA